rnacentral:rRNA from 1 species
UUUUUUUUUUAGCUUUAGAGUGGUUCUGAUGUAGAUUAACGCAGGCGUCAGACAUAAAAGGUUGAGUCGAGCGAGGUAGCAGACGCAGCGGCGAACGGGUGAGUAUUGAGUAGGAAGUUCGCAGAUAGAGGCGGAUACCAGUUAACACGAGGAAUCAUGCCUUAUCAUCCUCUAGGGACCAAGGGGUGGUACGUUUAUCCACAUGAUGUCGUGUGCGCGAUAUGUGCGUUCGCUGUAAUUAGUGGGUUAAUGGCUCACCGAUCCACCAUGCCGUAGAUGCUUAGAGAGUAUGAUAUCCCACUCUGGAACGAGAGACACGGUCAGACUUCCUAGGGUAGGCAGCAGGCGGCAUUUAUUGGACAAUGGGCGCAAGCCUGAUCCAGCCAUGCCGCGUGUGUGAAGAAGGCCUUCGGGUUGUAAAGCACUUUCAGUGGGGAGGAAGGGUGUUGUUUUAAUAGAGCGGCAUUUUGACGUUACCCACAGAAGAAGCACCGGCUAACUCCGUGCCAGCAGCCGCGGUAAUACGGAGGGCAAGGGUUUUUUGGAAUUUUUGGGGGUAAAGGGGCGUCUGGGGGCUUUUUAAAUUGGAUGGAAAACCCCAGGGUCAACCUGAGAAUGCCUUUGAUACAUACUGGGAAGCUAGAGUAUGUGAGAGGGGGGUAGAAUUCCAAGUGUAGCGGUGAAAUGCGUAGAGAUUUGGAGGAAUACCAGUGGCGAAGGCGGCCCCCUGGCACAAUACUGACGCUCAGGUGCGAAAGCGUGGGGAGCAAACAGGAUUAGAUACCCUGGUAGUCCACGCCGUAAACGAUGUCUACUAGCUGUUCGCGGUGGGUCAGUAGCGCAGCUAACGCAUAAGUAGACCGCUGGAGACUCAUUGU